CUGGAUUUUUCUUCACAGGUGCUUAUCUCCUCCCCGGAGCUCCCUGCUCCUCUCUUCCCCAGCCGUGCCCAGCUCCUCUGCUCGCCGGCCGCGAGCCCCUGUCCAUGGCCGCGCGUCUUCCUCCGUCUCCCUGUUGUCGUGCCCUGGAGUUCCCUACGCGCUUCUCUGCUCGGUGCCCUGCUUGCUCCCGAUGCCGCACUCGGUCGCCAUGGCGUGCCCAGGCUCCAGCUCCCCUGCGCGUGCUCGCCGGCCGGAGCUCUCUGGCGCGCUCGCCCAUGCCGCGCGCAGCCGAGCUCGCCCUGCGCACCCCAUCUCCCAGGUGCUCGGCCAGCUCGCCCAUGGUCGCGCCCUUGACUUCGCCCCAGCGCCCGACCGUCACUUCCAUGGCGCGCCCAUCCCCUGCGUCCUCCCCUGCAUCGUGCCCUCCCAUCUCCCUGUUGUCGCGCCUGGCUCGCCCCCUGCGCGUGUGUCCUCGCCGCGCCCGAGCGCUCUGCUCACUGGUGCCGCAACCCCAGCCGGAGCUCCUGGCUUGCCCCUGCUUCCAUGACUGACCGCGCGGCUCCUCUGCGCCGUCAUUCUUUGCGCCCAUGCGUGGAGCUUCCUCCCUCGCUGCGCUCUCUCUAGAUCUUGGUUGGUCGAGCUCGCCGGCGUUGCUGGCCUCUAGCUCCCUCCAGCUCGGCGUCCAUCUCUACUGCUCGCCCCUGCGCUCGGAUUUUUCCUCUCGGCCGGUCGUGGAUUUCUCUGCGCCGCUCUCUCUCUCCCGGCGCUUCUUCCCUGCGCGCUCCAACUUUCCUUCCAUGGCGCGUCCGUGUUUCCUUCUCCUGGACGCCGCGUCCUCCCGGCCAUGGAGUUCGCCGUUAGCCGCCCCGUCGUGCUCGUUUCUGGUGCUCGCUCCGGCUCCGGCCACGAACGUUGUCGAGCCCGUCGUUUUCCUGUCCAGUUCUCGCGCGGCUUCCUGCUCGCCAGCGCGCUCUCUCAGCUCCGCUCGGCCGCUCCUCUUGUUCCCUGUCCGUGGUGGUGUUGUGGCGUAGCGACGUUGUGCGCGUCGCGGCAGCCGUCCUGGCCGCAGGAACAGUCCACGCCAUAUAGCUCGCCCAGCCAUGACCUUGCCUUGCUCCUCGCGUCACCGUUCAUCGAGCUCAUCCAACACUUGCCUUAUCCUAGCCAUAGUCCGUGCCUCCUUGAAUUCCCUCCCUGGCCGGUCAUCGUGUGUGCUCGUGCUCAACUGCGCUUGAUUACAUCCGUGUCGUUCUUCGACUUAGUGCUAGCGUCCACUUGGCUCUAGCUCGCUAGCUAUCAGCGCUCGCAGUUGGUCCCGGUUUUGAGCUCGUCGUCUGGUACCUAGCCACCUAGCCACUGACUAGCGCUUGCGUCGGCCACGAAAAACCUCGACGUCGAACGUGCUGUUCUACGCAAGACAGGCCCGCGUCAUUAUUAUUCUUAUCGGGAUUGCCGACGUCAAUCGCCUCGACAACAACCACAUCCAUGACUCGGCGUUCCAAUUUUGCCGCACCGCCCUUUAAAUUCGAGUCCUCGUCCGUAGUAUCGUCAUUGACCUCGCAACUUCAGCUCGAAUUAAUUAUGGUGAGUUGAUCUGUUAUUCCCGUCAACUAAAUAAAUGGUUGGAUUAAAUAGAUACAUCUAUUGCGAUGAUUCUCUUGUCUAUUAUUUGAUGUGGAGGUUAAAGUUGAAUUUCGGGUUUAUGUGAUCAGUGUAUUAGUAAAAUAUAUGUUGUGUGAUGAUGCUCUACUUGAUAGAUUAAGUAUAGUGUGAUGUUUUAUUAGUUAGGAUAUUUUAAGGAUUAAUUCAAAAGAGUGGUUUAAAUAGUUAGUUAAGUUGUUUCGGUCCAUACUUCGAGUUUCAUGUCCUAAAAUAAUGAGUCUAAGUAAUUAGUCUUUCGGUAUUAUGCUUUAGUCAAAUAGAAAGGUGGAACUCAUAUGGUCUAUUGUUUUCCUAAUGAAUGAAUCUAGGUUUGAUAGUCUUGUGGUGUUGGGCCUUAGCUAAGCAAAGUAGAUGUGCGUAUAAUUUAUUGUUCCUUGAUGUUUGAGUUAAAUCUGGUAAAACUAGAAAAUCGUGAUUGUUGUGUUUAGUGAGUUAUAGGUGUCUAGUGCUUAUGUAGGAUUGUGUCGAUGUCUUGCCGCUAAGUAUUUGAUUCUCUUUUCUGUAUCAUCCGGUUACUUUAUGCUCAUACAUGUGCAUUGUGCAUCUCAUGAGGUAUGAUAAUUAAUCGCGUGAUGUGGAGAACCUGAGCCAAGUCGACCCCAAGUGUGGGCUACUCCGCAUGGUGAUGCUGAUGGACGAACUUGAAGAUGGAUAAUUGAACGAGUACCAAGAAAAAGGAUGGUCGUCAAGUGAUCGUCGUCUAACAACACUAACCUAGUGUUACCAAGGCAAGCC